rnacentral:rRNA from 1 species
GACGAACGCUGGCGGCGUGCCUAAUACAUGCAAGUAGAACGCUGAAGGCGGAGCUUGCUCUUCUGGAUGAGUUGCGAACGGGUGAGUAACGCGUAGGUAACCUGCCUGGUAGCGGGGGAUAACUAUUGGAAACGAUAGCUAAUACCGCAUAAGAGUAGAUGUUGCAUGACGUUUACUUAAAAGGUGCAAUUGCGUCACUACCACAUGGUCCUGCCUUGUUUUUGCUAGUUGGUGGGGUAACGGCUUCCCCAGGCGACGAUCCAUAGACGAACGGAGAGGGUGAUCGGCGACACUGGGACGGGGACACGGCCCAUAGGCCUGCGGGAGGCAGCAGAAGGGAACCGUCGGCAAUGGACGGAAGUCUGACCGAGUAACGCCGCGCGAGAGAAGAAGGUUCUCGGAUGGUAAAGAUCGGUUGUAAGUGGAGAACGAGUGUGGGAAUGGAAAGUGCACACUGUGACGGUAUCUAAACAGAAAGGGACGGCUAACUACGUG